GAUGAACGCUGGCGGCGUGCCUAAUACAUGCAAGUCGAGCGAACAGACGAGGAGCUUGCUCCUCUGACGUUAGCGGCGGACGGGUGAGUAACACGUGGAUAACCUACCUAUAAGACUGGGAUAACUUCGGGAAACCGGAGCUAAUACCGGAUAAUAUAUUGAACCGCAUGGUUCAAUAGUGAAAGACGGUUUUGCUGUCACUUAUAGAUGGAUCCGCGCCGCAUUAGCUAGUUGGUAAGGUAACGGCUUACCAAGGCAACGAUGCGUAGCCGACCUGAGAGGGUGAUCGGCCACACUGGAACUGAGACACGGUCCAGACUCCUACGGGAGGCAGCAGUAGGGAAUCUUCCGCAAUGGGCGAAAGCCUGACGGAGCAACGCCGCGUGAGUGAUGAAGGUCUUCGGAUCGUAAAACUCUGUUAUUAGGGAAGAACAAAUGUAUAAGUAACUAUGCACGUCUUGACGGUACCUAAUCAGAAAGACACGGCUAACUACGUG
rnacentral:rRNA from 1 species